rnacentral:rRNA from 1 species
WNNNNNNNNNNNNNNNNNNNNNNNNNNNNNNNNUUAAGCAUAUAAGUAAGCGGAGGACAAGAAACUAAACAGGAUUCCCUUAGUAAUGGCGAAUGAACAGGGAUGAGCUCAGCAUGGAAAUCGGGGUCUCCCGACCUUGAAUUGUAGUCUGUAGAUGUACUGCCAACGGAGGCGCAGAUGUAAGCCUCUUGGAAAAGAGCAUCAACGAGGGUGAGAGUCCCGUUUGUCAUCUGCAGUCCCCCGUGCACGGUGUGCCUUCUAAGAGUCACGUUCCUCGGGAUUGGAGCGCAAAGUGGGUGGUAAAUUUCAUCUAAAGCUAAAUAUUGGUUCGAGACCGAUAGCAAACAAGUACCAUGAGGGAAAGGUGAAAAGGACUUUGAAAAGAGAGUUAAAAGUGCCUGAAAUUGCUGAAAGGGAAGCGAAUGGAACCAGUGUUCUUGAUGAGAUUGUUGCGUACUCUGGUGAUUGCUGGGUGUUCCACCGCAAGGGGGGCAUUUAGUUUUGAGCUAGAUGUGCGUGGUGUUUCUUGUCUUGUGUGUCACCGUCGGUGCACGAGCGAGUAAACCUCCAGGGGGCUGGUAGCUCGACCAUGGUUGAGUGAAUACCUUUGGCAGUACUCAUUUGUGUAUCGAUCCCUGCGUGUCUGGUUGCAGUGUUUGGGUCGCCUGGAAACUUCUGAGGGGCUUGUCCUUGAAGGAGUCCUUCUGGGCGCCCUGAGCAUCUCCCUGACACAAAGACGAUGACUAAAUGGUUCUAUUCGACCCGUCUUGAAACAC